rnacentral:misc_RNA from 1 species
UACGUAGGUGGCAAGCGUUGUCCGGAAUUAUUGGGCGUAAAGCGCGCACAGGCGGUUCCUUAAGUCCGAUGUGAAAGCCCAAGGCUCAACCGUGGAGGGUCAUUGGAAACUGGGGAACUUGAGUGCAGAAGAGGAAAGUGGAAUUCCAUGUGCAGCGGUGAAAUGCGUAGAGAUGUGGAGGAACACCAGUGGCGAAGGCGACUCUCUGGUCUGUAACUGACGCUGAGGAGCGAAAGCGUGGGGAGCGAACAGG